CAGCAGUUAAACUCUACUAUUAAGGG
rnacentral:tRNA from 1 species